GGUGGAGCUUUUGAGCCCGCUUCAAGUCAGGAUGACUAAUCAACCAAUCUUGGGGUAAACGAUUUAUUAUGUUUAUGUUUAUUUACGUUUAACUCUUUAACUCUUAUACAUGGAAAAUGAGACUCAAUAUUUUUACUGCGAAUUUAUAUAUUCUAAAUUAUAUAAUAUAUAUAAGAUAAUAUAUAUAAGCUGUUUUCUUUCACUCAUAUAACUAUUUGAUUUAAUUCUUCAAUCCUAAUAAGG
rnacentral:lncRNA from 1 species